rnacentral:rRNA from 1 species
AGCGAACGUUUGCGGCGGGCCUAACACAUGCAAGUCGAACGGGCAGGGGCAACCCUGUCAGUGGCGCACGGGUGCGUAACACGUGGGUAAUCAACCCUUUGGACUGGGACAACCCGGGGAAACUCGGGCUAAUACCGGAUGUGGCGUGGCGGUCCUCGGACUGCUCCGCGAAAGCUCCGCAAGGGGCACCAGAGGACGAGCCCGCGUCCCAUCAGCUAGUUGGUGAGGUAAUGGCUCACCAAGGCGAAGACGGGUAGCUGGUCUGAGAGGAUGAUCAGCCACACUGGGACUGAGACACGGCCCAGACUCCUACGGGAGGCAGCAGUGGGGAAUAUUGGACAAUGGGCGAAAGCCUGAUCCAGCAAUGCCGCGUGAGUGAUGAAGGCCUUAGGGUUGUAAAGCUCUUUUACCAGGGAUGAUAAUGACAGUACCUGGAGAAUAAGCUCCGGCUAACUCCGUG